UUUACCCUCAGUUUACUUUAUCCCUAAACACAUACACACCUCUUAAUUGAGUGAACAAUGCAGAGAUUUGCUUUGGUCUGAGAUGCUGGAGCAAUAACUUGUUGUAGUGAAUGUCUUGUGCGGCAGGAUGCAGUCAUUGGUCCUGGUGAGUUUCAGCCUGGUAAUGAUCCCAGCCAAUCACUGUGGGAGAAUGCUGCAUAACAGCAGACAGAGAGCACCUGUCUUUCCUUUGCUUGCCGGAGGCUGGGUCGCGGCAUUUCCUGGCAUCCUCCAUCUCCGUGUGGUGGUAGAAACCUGCUUGGAUGUUGCUGCUGGCUGCAUGCGGCUUACCGCCCCAUGUGCCACUCGCUGUUUGCUGCUGGCCGCUGUUGGGUAGCGUUGAUCCCUACGCUCCACGCCGUGCUGUCCGGGACUGCCUGACUGAUUAUUGUAGGGGCAAGGAUGACCUAGUGACGGCGCACUACUGGCUAAUCUGUGAGGGAAAUCACUGCUGCCUAGCCACAACCGACUUCGCCUCUGGCUGUCUUGCCUGACGCCUGGCUGGUUGUUCGGUGGCCCAGCUGCUCCCGUCGCUUU